AUAUAAUUAAAAGAGUAUUAC
rnacentral:siRNA from 1 species